rnacentral:pre_miRNA from 1 species
UUUGACUCUUCGUCUUAUUUGAAAUUUUUUUAUGAUUUAUAUUUUUAUUGUUAUUACAUGAUGAAACAUAAAUAGUACUUUGCUUGUGACUAUUUUUUUUUAAUUUUUUAAUAAAUUUUUCAAAUAAGACAGAUAGUCAAA